rnacentral:misc_RNA from 1 species
UAUAUAUAGGGGGGUGGUGAGAGCUGGUAGCCAGGUAGCCAAGAUGCAUGGAUACGAGGUAGCCUUUUCGAUGAAACCUAUGGCGUCGUGGGCCUCGCAACGCCAUUUUUACGUGCUUGCCGGACGAUCUUAGCCAGGAAGCAUUUUUUUCGACCCGGGCAUAUUUUCCCCGUCAACGACCGACCCGAGAGACCAAAGAAUCCUAGUCGUUGCCGUUUAAAAUAGGCCCCGGGUAGUCCGUUUUCGGGAAAAAAGAGGCCCCCGGUCAGGUUUUUCAAAAAAGUACGCAACCUCAAUAUUUCAGUGUCUGUUCCUGUAACAAAACUUUUUGUGCAAUAUGUAUAUAUAGGGGGGUGGUGAGAGCUGGUAGCCAGGUAGCCAAGAUGCAUGGGUACGAGGUAUCCUUUUCGAUGAAACCUAUGGCGUUGUGGGCCUCGCAACGCCAUUUGUACGUGCUUGCCGGACGAUCCUAGAACGAAGCAUUACUUGCCACGCCGGCUUGGCUUGGUGACUUGUUUUGUGUAGUUUUUUAGGUGACGGGGAGCAUGAUGUGGCAUGUCGGAACUGUUGACCAGGUCGAAGCCUGUGCCUCCCUGGGUAACAAAGACAACGUCAUGAAUGAAUGGCGGGGACCCUUUUCUAUGAAACCUGUGGCGUUGCGGGCCUGGCAACGCCAUUUGUACGUGCUUGCCGGACGAUCCUAGAACGAAGCAUUACUUGCCUCACCGGCCUGGCUGGUGGCUUGUUUUGUGUAGUUUUUUAGGUGACGGGGAGCAUGAUGUGGCAUGUCGGUAUCGUUCUUUGUUAUUUAGUUCGCAUCGUUCGGGGCAUCCUUGGAGCCGUUCGGACUUUUGGUUGCUUUCUUGGCUCGAAUGCCUAGUGGGUGGCUAAUUGUUAGGCGGUUUUCGUGGAUGUUUACUGUAAAGGUGCAUGAGUGGUGUUUGGUUUGUUACCGGUGGUUGGCUCUCUGCUUUUGCAACAACUUCCACCUGGCAUUCCUCUUCAGGUUCGUGUCAAGGUUGCUAUUCCUUGACCGCUUAUGGUUUCCUGUGUUCCCUACCUACGUGAUGGUAUUGCUUGAUUACAUCAAUGGCGUGUUUCAUCAUGCGUCAUUUAUAUGGCGUAGGAUGAACUUCAAAGCAGCUUCCAUGAUCCACCAUGUUGACGCACAUGCAUCGAUGUUGUGGCUCAUUGAGUUUCGCUUGGUUUUCUAGAUACAGAACAUGAUAUGGGUGUGGGUCCUGCGAUCCUUGUUUUGCCCUUUUUGAACGUUGUUAUAACUCAGAGAUGACCUCCUAUCCCGAAUUGGCUUGUACCAACGGGGUAGGUUAAGCUGUUGAAGAGUAAUAAUGCCGUUAUUGCUUCUCUAAAACAGACGGCCUUUCUUGUGUUGGAUCGUACCAACCGGUGGGCUAUGUCGAAGAGGGAUGC